rnacentral:rRNA from 1 species
GAUGAACGCUGGCGGCGUGCCUAAUACAUGCAAGUCGAGCGAACAGACGAGGAGCUUGCUCCUCUGACGUUAGCGGCGGACGGGUGAGUAACACGUGGAUAACCUACCUAUAAGACUGGGAUAACUUCGGGAAGCCGGAGCUAAUACCGGAUAAUAUAUUGAACCGCAUGGUUCAAUAGUGAAAGACGGUUUUGCUGUCACUUAUAGAUGGAUCCGCGCCGCAUUAGCUAGUUGGUAAGGUAACGGCUUACCAAGGCAACGAUGCGUAGCCGACCUGAGAGGGUGAUCGGCCACACUGGAACUGAGACACGGUCCAGACUCCUACGGGAGGCAGCAGUAGGGAAUCUUCCGCAAUGGGCGAAAGCUUGACGGAGCAACGCCGCGUGAGUGAUGAAGGUCUUCGGAUCGUAAAACUCUGUUAUUAGGGAAGAACAAAUGUGUAAGUAACUAUGCACAUCUUGACGGUACCUAAUCAGAAAGCCACGGCUAACUACGUG